rnacentral:ncRNA from 1 species
AAUUUUUGCAUUGAGAUAUGGUUUCGCCAAGUUUCCUCUAUUUUUGUUUUCCCCUUGUCUACAAAAAAAAAAACAAGUUUUGACUAUGUGGAUCUUGGAAAGGUCAAGUUCAAUCUCAUUCGCCCCCCCUCUCUGCCCUAGAUGCAAGAAAAAAAAUAGAACGUACACAUGUCUGUCAUCCAAAAUGGACCCUGCAACCUUCUCCUCCUCACUAUUCUCAUGAUCCAGGUUUGUCCACAUAGGCAUUGUCUACAUAGGCAUUGUUUACAUAGGCGUUGUCUACAACAUUCCAUUUUGGCCCACUGGAUCUUGGACAAUGAGGCAUCACAAAAAAUAUGGAGGUUGUCCAUAACGUUCUCUAUAGAAUCAAAAAAAAUCUAGAAGCAUUCCAUAGUGAUCUUCAUAAAAGUCUGGUCCUUAUGAAUAAUAUGAAAGAGUUGUAUGUAGAAUGUUGAUUAACCAACUAUCCAGCUCCAUGUUCUGGGAGAUGAAUGGCUUUGAUAAGAUCUUGACCAACCCCAAAAUAAAUGAGAUAAUCUAGGGCCUUUACUGCCAUUUAAAAAAAUACUUUUGUUGGAUGGACCCUAACUGUCCCAUAUCCUAUGAUUCACACUUGUUGAUAGGCAGGAAGACUGAGGCUUUGCAGAGUGUCUCAGAAGCGUAGAGGAAAAAUUUCCCGAAGCCCAUGGCCUUGAUCAUGCCUAUAUUUGAGGGUCAUUUGAUCAUGUCAUAAGAUUUCCCAAAAAUCAAUCUCAAUGAAGAGGGUGUUGAAAUCAAGGAAACAUUUGAGGGAAUUCCAUAACUUUUUCCCCUUCAAGCAAUAUCACAGACAACCUUCCAUCCAAAGUCAACAAAAUUGAAACCCAUUUUUGAGAGUUGUUGGUGCCUCAUCCCAUAACUGAUGACAACAUUAGGAAAUCCGAAGACGUCGUCGGGGGCCCCAGGAAGAGUUAUCUUUUCUUUUUAAUAGCUUGCCCACCCUGAAAUCGGCUCAACCAGAGAUAGGGUCCAUCAACUGAAAGAGAAUCACACAUCUUGUGGUGUCUGGUGCGCCCUCGACAGCCCUUGAAAAUCUGGAGGACCAAGUACCGUCCACGCCCGGUCGUACUCAUAACCGCAUCAAGUCUCCAAGGUGAACAAACUUUGGUCAAUAGAACAAUGUAUGUAAGGGAAGUCGACAAAAUGAAUCCAUAACUUCGGGGAAAGGAUUGGCUCUGAGGGCUAGGCCUAGGGGUUUGCGUCCUCAACCCAUGGGCUAUCGAUAGUCUGCCCGUGGGACUGUCAUUGAUUAAUGCUACCUCCUUUUGAAUGGUGGUGCAAUUAAUUAAUGCUACCUUCUUUUGAAUGGUAGAGCACCACCUAUCAUUCAUGAUCCAACACAUAGUAGUCAAGAAUCCCAUCCAUUGCUAAUUGUUGGGCUCUAAAGAUGUCCUAAAAACAACCUUAGU